GAUGAAGAACGUAGCGAAAUGCGAUAAGUAAUGUGAAUUGCAGAAUUCAGUGAAUCAUCGAAUCUUUGAACGCACAUUGCGCCCGCCAGUAUUCUGGCGGGCAUGCCUGUUCGAGCGUCAUUUCAACCCUCAGGGCCCUUUUGGACCUGGCGUUGGGGCUCGGCCGCUACCCUGCGGCCGUCCCCGAAAGAUAGUGGCGGUCUCGCUGUAGCCUCCUCUGCGUAGUAGUUACAUCUCGCACUGGAACGCGGCGCGGCCAUGCCGUUAAACACCCCGCUUCUCAAGGUUGACCUCGGAUCAGGUAGGAAUACCCGCUGAACUUAAGCAUAUCAAUAAGCGGAGGA
rnacentral:misc_RNA from 1 species